AUACGGAGGAUCCGAGCGUUAUCCGGAUUUAUUGGGUUUAAAGGGAGCGUAGAUGGAUGUUUAAGUCAGUUGUGAAAGUUUGCGGCUCAACCGUAAAAUUGCAGUUGAUACUGGAUAUCUUGAGUGCAGUUGAGGCAGGCGGAAUUCGUGGUGUAGCGGUGAAAUGCUUAGAUAUCACGAAGAACUCCGAUUGCGAAGGCAGCCUGCUAAGCUGCAACUGACAUUGAGGCUCGAAAGUGUGGGUAUCAAACAGGAUUAGAUACCCUGGUAGUCCACACGGUAAACGAUGAAUACUCGCUGUUUGCGAUAUACUGCAAGCGGCCAAGCGAAAGCGUUAAGUAUUCCACCUGGGGAGUACGCCGGCAACGGUGAAACUCAAAGGAAUUGACGGGG
rnacentral:rRNA from 1 species